rnacentral:tRNA from 1 species
CAAAGUGUAGCUAAGAUAGAAAAGCAUCUCCCUUACACCGAGAAAUCAUCCGUGCAAGUCGGAUCACCUUGA